UGUGAGAGGCGUCCCCGUGUCGGAGUGCCGACAUGUGUGUGACUUCAGUUCGCAGCGCCCUCGCAGCAGCGGGGGAACACAUGCUUUGGCGGUGCCGCUCGUUACGUCACAGAGCAGAAAUGGAGCUCGGCCCUCAGGAGUUCGGAAUAUCAGCGUCAACUUUGGGCUGUCCAGAGAGCCUGCGAUGCGGCGGUUAGGCUAACUGGGUCCCCACGUGGGAGUGGCACGCAGUGUCGCCCUAGGAGGUGGUACUUCUCCGGGUCUUUGAAUAAAUUUGUCAAUAUGGUU